UACGUAGGGGGCGAGCGUUGUCCGGAGUUACUGGGCGUAAAGCGCUUGUAGGCGGUCCACCAAGUUUGGGGUGACAGUUGCCGACUUAAUCGGCAAAGUGCCUCAAAGACUGGCGGACUUGAGGGCCACAGAGGGACAUGGAACUCCAGGUGUAGUGGUGAAAUGCGUAGAGAUGUGGAGGAAUACCGAUGGCGAAGGCAGCCUCCUGGGCCAACACUGACGCUCAUGCACGAAAGCGUGGGGAGCAAACAGG
rnacentral:rRNA from 1 species